ACAAAGAGAAAAAAAAACAUCGAAAAUUUAAUUGGUUCGACAUUAAAUCAUGUGGCCUACUCUAGUCCCCCAUAAUUUCCUUUGAGAGUUCCACUAACACUAGAGAUUUCAUCACACGAUCAGUUCACAACCUUCUUGCACAAAGCUUUUAUCUCAAGUUUGCAACUUUUAUAAUAAUAUUCGAGUUUAAAAGAGAAUAACACUCUUU
rnacentral:lncRNA from 1 species